rnacentral:siRNA from 1 species
GGAAAAGUCACUCUUCGGCUCGUA